rnacentral:rRNA from 1 species
GCUUACGGCCAUACCACCUGAACACGCCCGAUCUCGGAAGCUAAGCAGGGUAGGGCCUGGUUAGUACUUGGAUGGGGACCGCCUGGGAAUACCAGGUGCUGUAAGCU